UCGAGAAUUUUUCUCAAUGGGGGAAACCCUGAAGGAGCGACGCCGCGUGGAGGAUGAAGGUCUUCGGAUUGUAAACUCCUGUCAUUGGUGAACAAAGUCACAAGUUAACUGCUUUGUGAUAUGCUAGUAGCCGAAGAGGAAGGGACGGCUAACUCUGUGCCAGCAGCCGCGGUAAUACAGAGGUCCCAAGCGUUGUUCGGAUUCAUUGGGCGUAAAGGGUGCGUAGGCGGUGGGGUAAGUUGGAUGUGAAAUCUUGAGGCUUAACCUCAAAAUUGCAUUCAAUACUGCUCCGCUCGAGUUCUGUAGAGGAGAUUGGAAUUUACGGUGUAGCAGUGAAAUGCGUAGAUAUCGUAAGGAACGCCAGUGGCGAAAGCGAAUCUCUGGGCAGCAACUGACGCUGAGGCACGAAGGCCAGGGGAGCAAACGG
rnacentral:rRNA from 1 species